rnacentral:rRNA from 1 species
UUAAGUGAAUAAGGGCGCACGGUGGAUGCCUUGGCACUAGGAGCCGAUGAAGGACGGGACUAACACCGAUAUGCUUUGGGGAGCUGUACGUAAGCUAUGAUCCAGAGAUUUCCGAAUGGGGGAACCCAACAUCUUUAAUAGGAUGUUACGAUUGUGUGAAUACAUAGCACAUUCGAGGUAGACGCAGAGAACUGAAACAUCUAAGUACCUGCAGGAAGAGAAAGAAAAUUCGAUUCCCUGAGUAGCGGCGAGCGAAACGGGAAAAGCCCAAACCAGCAAGCUUGCUUGUUGGGGUUGUAGGACUCCAAUAUGGUAGUUCUUUCAGAUAGUCGAAUGACUUGGAAAAGUCAGUCAAAGAGGGUAAAAACCCCGUAGACGAAAUGUGGAAGACACCUAGGAGGAUCCUGAGUACGGCGGAACACGAGAAAUUCCGUCGGAAUCCGGGAGGACCAUCUCCCAAGGCUAAAUACUCCCUAGUGACCGAUAGUGAACCAGUACCGUGAGGGAAAGGUGAAAAGCACCCCGGAAGGGGAGUGAAAUAGAACCUGAAACCGUGUGCCUACAACAAGUCAAAGCCCGUUAAUGGGUGAUGGCGUGCCUUUUGUAGAAUGAACCGGCGAGUUACGAUUGCAUGCGAGGUUAAGUUGAAGAGACGGAGCCGCAGCGAAAGCGAGUCUGAAUAGGGCGUUUGAGUAUGUAGUCGUAGACCCGAAACCAUGUGAUCUACCCAUGUCCAGGUUGAAGGUGCGGUAAAACGCACUGGAGGACCGAACCCACGUACGUUGAAAAGUGCGGGGAUGAGGUGUGGGUAGCGGAGAAAUUCCAAACGAACUUGGAGAUAGCUGGUUCUCUCCGAAAUAGCUUUAGGGCUAGCCUCGGAAUUGAGAAUGAUGGAGGUAGAGCACUGUUUGGACUAGGGGCCCAUCUCGGGUUACCGAAUUCAGAUAAACUCCGAAUGCCAUUCAUUCAUAUCCGGGAGUCAGACUGUGAGUGAUAAGAUCCAUAGUCGAAAGGGAAACAGCCCAGACCACCAGCUAAGGUCCCAAAAUAUAUGUUAAGUGGAAAAGGAUGUGGGGUUGCACAGACAACUAGGAUGUUGGCUUAGAAGCAGCCAUCAUUUAAAGAGUGCGUAAUAGCUCACUAGUCGAGUGACCCUGCGCCGAAAAUGUACCGGGGCUAAACAUAUUACCGAAGCUGUGGAGUACACCUUUAGGUGUAUUGGUAGGAGAGCGUUCUAAGGGCGUUGAAGGCAGAUCGUGAGGACUGCUGGAGCGCUUAGAAGUGAGAAUGCCGGUAUGAGUAGCGAAAGACAGGUGAGAAUCCUGUCCACCGAAUGACUAAGGUUUCCUGGGGAAGGCUCGUCCGCCCAGGGUUAGUCGGGACCUAAGCCGAGGCCGACAGGCGUAGGCGAUGGAUAACAGGUUGAUAUUCCUGUACCCGUUGUUUUUGUUUGAGCAAUGGAGGGACGCAGGAGGCUAAGGAAUGCAGACGAUCGGAAAUGUCUGUCCAAGCAGUAAGUCUGAAGAGGAGUCAAAUGCUUCUUUUCUUAAGGACAAGCUGUGAUGGGGAGGGAAAUAAUAGUACCGAAGUUCCUGAUGUCACACUGCCGAGAAAAGCUUCUAGUGAGAAAACAGCGGCCCGUACCGCAAACCGACACAGGUAGUCGAGGAGAGAAUCCUAAGGUGAGCGAGAGAACUCUCGUUAAGGAACUCGGCAAAAUGACCCCGUAACUUCGGGAGAAGGGGUGCUGAUCAUACGAUCAGCCGCAGUGAAUAGGCCCAAGCGACUGUUUAUCAAAAACACAGGUCUCUGCAAAAUCGUAAGAUGAAGUAUAGGGGCUGACGCCUGCCCGGUGCUGGAAGGUUAAGAGGAGUGCUUAGCGCAAGCGAAGGUACGAAUUGAAGCCCCAGUAAACGGCGGCCGUAACUAUAACGGUCCUAAGGUAGCGAAAUUCCUUGUCGGGUAAGUUCCGACCCGCACGAAAGGCGUAACGAUUUGGGCACUGUCUCAACGAGAGACUCGGUGAAAUUUUAGUACCUGUGAAGAUGCAGGUUACCCGCGACAGGACGGAAAGACCCCAUGGAGCUUUACUGUAGUUUGAUAUUGAGUGUCUGUACCGCAUGUACAGGAUAGGUAGGAGCCGUAGAAAUCGGAACGCUAGUUUCGAUGGAGGCGCUGGUGGGAUACUACCCCUGCGUUAUGGCCACUCUAACCCGCACCACUAAUCGUGGUGGGAGACAGUGUCAGAUGGGCAGUUUGACUGGGGCGGUCGCCUCCUAAAAGGUAACGGAGGCGCCCAAAGGUUCCCUCAGAAUGGUUGGAAAUCAUUCGAAGAGUGUAAAGGCAGAAGGGAGCUUGACUGCGAGACCAACAAGUCGAGCAGGGACGAAAGUCGGGCUUAGUGAUCCGGUGGUUCCGCAUGGAAGGGCCAUCGCUCAACGGAUAAAAGCUACCCUGGGGAUAACAGGCUUAUCUCCCCCAAGAGUCCACAUCGACGGGGAGGUUUGGCACCUCGAUGUCGGCUCGUCGCAUCCUGGGGCUGUAGUCGGUCCCAAGGGUUGGGCUGUUCGCCCAUUAAAGCGGCACGCGAGCUGGGUUCAGAACGUCGUGAGACAGUUCGGUCCCUAUCCGUCGCGGGCGUUGGAAAUUUGAGAGGAGCUGUCCUUAGUACGAGAGGACCGGGAUGGACUUACCGCUGGUGUACCAGUUGUUCUGCCAAGGGCAUUGCUGGGUAGCUAUGUAGGGAAGGGAUAAACGCUGAAAGCAUCUAAGUGUGAAGCCCACCUCAAGAUGAGAUUUCCCAUUUCUUUAAGAAAGUAAGAUCCCUGAGAGAUGAUCAGGUAGAUAGGUCAGGAGUGGAAGUACAGUGAUGUAUGAAGCG